rnacentral:rRNA from 1 species
UGGGGAAUAUUGGACAAUGGGCGCAAGCCUGAUCCAGCCAUGCCGCGUGAGUGAUGAAGGCCCUAGGGUUGUAAAGCUCUUUUGUGCGGGAAGAUAAUGACGGUACCGCAAGAAUAAGCCCCGGCUAACUCCGUGCCAGCAGCCGCGGUAAUACGGGGGGAGCAAGCGUUGUUCGGAUUUACUGGGCGUAAAGGGCGCGUAGGCGGCCACCGCAAGUCGACUGUGAAAUCUCCGGGCUUAACCCGGAAAGGUCAGCCGAUACUGCGGGGCUAGAGUGCAGAAGGGGCAACUGGAAUUCUCGGUGUAGCGGUGAAAUGCGUAGAUAUCGAGAGGAACACCUGCGGCGAAGGCGGGUUGCUGGGCUGACACUGACGCUGAGGCGCGAAAGCUAGGGGAGCGAAC